CACCAGAGAAAGAGUUAGUUACUGAGGUAGGACAGAUGGCAAUUGAUUUGCAACAAAAGGAUAGUGGGAAAGGCAUGAGAGAGAGAACCUUAAAUAGAAGAUUGGAAGGUUAUGUGUGGCAGCGUUGAGUGGUGUUGCUGUGACCAUGGAUGAGUAACAAUAAUUCUAUCUUUCCUUAACACUUAUAGUAUUGAUUAUACUUUUUCUUGUCUUCUUUAUACUGUUUCAUUGUUAUUAGCACUCAAUGGUUCUUGUAAUACUUCCCUGUGGGGCAUUCAUGCUCUCUUAGUUAAUAUCACAAGAUCUCUACCCUUUCACUGACCCCAUUCCAUACUUACCUUAAAACAUUGUAUUCCCCUCAUCUAGCCACUCUUAACCUGCAGAAUCAUUCCUCUCAAUUUUUAACUAUCUAUAUCUAGACCUUUCAUACCUUAACCUACUCAACCGUUUUUUUUUCCUUUAUACUCCCACAGUUUAUCCCCUCCAAAUCUCUUUCACCAAAUAGGCUAUCUCAUCUUUUGUUCUCCUCUCUCAAACCUGAAACAUGCCAACAUGGGAUUAGAUCCUAUUGAAGGCAAGACCAUAUAUAUGAAUCCGAACCCAAGCCCAGGAUAUAAACAUGAUUGCUACAACAUAGUAGGUAAAAUCAUGUCAGAAAAAGAAGUCAAAUUCAAAAUGAUCAAGAACUCCAUCCUAAGAAUGUGAGGUAACCCAAAAGAUGUCUCUAUUUCAAAAGUUGCAAGAAACACUGUCCUAAUCAGCUUCAAAGACAGUAAAAAAGAAACAAAAUCUGGGUAUCCAUAGAUGUUACCAGGCCUCUCCACACCGGCUUCUACUUGGGCAGAGGUUUAGGAACAACCGGAGCCAAACCGCUAACCAUGGAAGGAGGAAUGGAGGAAGACGAAGAAAAUCGGAAACGAGACGAGGCGCGUGGGAACCAAGCGAAAGAGAGGGAGAGUUGUGACAACCAUAGCUCAGAGGACAAUAGCAAAACCCGCUGGAUACAAAGAAUUUCUGAAAUGGAAGUGACAUUCAGAAAAUUGAAAAUACAAGAAGCAGGAAAUUUAGGUGGCGAUAAGAAAGAAACAAAAGAGAAUGCAAAUCCACUGUUACAAGUUAAACCCCCUGGAGACAGCAACCACAACAUCAUCAAUCACAUUGGAGCUAUUACCCUUAGAUUUUUUUUUUCCAACUCAUUUCAUCAAAAAACCAAACCUUAGCAGAGAGAGUCCUUCCUCCAUGAAAACCAAAUCUUAGGGAGUUUUUUUCUACAAAUUCAUGGAGGCCCCACCGGCGUGGCGCCGCUUCGCCACCGAUUUGCAUGACCACCGCACUCCUUGUUUGUGUUCGUGUUCAUCAUC